AAUUGCUCUUCAUCUCUCAAGGCAGUGACCUGAUUGUGUUUCCACAGAAAAUCAACCGUCGGCUGCACUUGUCCAAAACAAAGCACAGCAAGUUCAAUGAGUCGGGCCAGCUGGCCACCUUCUACUCGCUCUCCUUCGUCUGGGGCUGCAGCAUCCUCACCAGUGUAAGAGAUCUGAUGCUACCCUGCUCUCAUCUGCACACAGACUAACUGACCGUUUCUCUAAUCAACAGGAGGAGUUUGUGACAAAUCCGACUUUUCUUUGGGAAGGUUAUCCUCAUAUCAACAUGGCGAUGUAAUUAAACUACUCCAACAACACUGAAAACUCCCAGCUCAGAUUACUCAAACUGUAACCUGUUUGUGUUAGUAUUUUUUCCAAGUGAAGUUUUUCUAUAUCUGUCAGAUUGCCUACUGGUUCCAUGCUCUUCCGGAGCUGU